AGAAGGUUGUUAAAAUAUUUAAGUUUGAUGCCAAAAAAGUUAAAGAAAUUCUAAAUUUAUCAAUCCAGUUCUUUAUAAAAUCAUUCCAGGGGUUACUUUUAAACAAUUCAACAUUUUCAAGGAAAUAUAUAGUGAAAAAAAUGACAUACUUUUGGCACCUGGGUGUUUUGAUUUAAGAAUAAAGGAACAAAACCAAACCAAAUAACAAAACCACAGUUAAGUUAGCUUAACCGAUUCUCUUGCUUUCAUUCAUCAGACUAUGGCUUUUGCAUGUUGUAUUCAGUUGCACUGUUUAUGAUAAACAUAGAAAAGAAAUCAGGGCAGACUGACUGCUACUUAUAAUGCACACUGGCAAUCUUUCCUUUAUACAUAUGCUUACAUUGAGUGCUUAUGUUUUCAUAUGAUAAGGUAAAAAAUUGUUUGGCAAAAAGUGAAACUAUUUUUCCAAAAAUUUUUUUUAUAUAUAUAGGGCAUGGAAAAUAUCCAUGAAUUUCAAGAUAUUCUGAAAAUUAAACUUUUAUAAAUGAAAAUAAAUGUUUGUAUUAAAGAUCAUGUUUGCUAGAUGUGUUUUUAUUUGGCACAGAAUCUUUUUAACUCUAUUUUUAGUUUUUUACUGGUCGUUUGUCAGUUCUGGAUUUUGUCAAAAUUUUUGUCCUACUUUUCAAGCCAUUGUCAUAAGUCCAUGACAUCAUUUUGAAAACUUUCUGAUUGUUGUUGACUUUAUUUUUAAUCUUUCUGAUCAGUAGCCAAUAAAAGUGUUCACAUUGUUGAAUAUC
rnacentral:sRNA from 1 species